AGAGCAGAAAAGUGAACUAGACUUAUCAGUCAGGAGUCUCCAACCAGAAACCCCCAAAAAAUGGACCAUCCCUGUCCCUGGCAUCCAUUUAGACUUCCGGGACUGUGUGGUCUCAGGGGAACGAUGUGUUUCCUUUUCACAGCUGCAUUAAUUAUAGUGAUACCAAUAAUAUGGCACGAUGUACAGCUACUAAGAGACAGGGAAAUAGCCAAAAGUAAUGCUACAUGCUGAAUCUGAAUCUGACCACUGAUCCACAACCGCGCAUACCAACCAUGCUUAACCAUGACCAUCGACGAAUAAAACAAAGUCACCAUACCACCCACUCAAUUACAUUAACCAGGGGUAGAACGCAGUCAUUUACUGUGGACCCAUGUUCAGGCCAACAAUUUGUGUGCAAAGCGAGAGGGAGGGCUACUGAUCAAGCCUGUCUCUGCACAGAGAACUGUACUGAUUGGGACCAUGUUUUCCAACACUCAGAUUCCGAGGGUUACAAAGCCAACACUGAGCAGACGUCCAGAUGGACUUUAAUUAAAAAGAAGUUGAAUAGCCAGUCACCUGGUUGGGAUAGUAUAGUGACAGUGAGCAAUGUAAACAAAGCAAACCAGGGUAUCUGAGAGAAUUGCUAUCCACGUACAAGAACUUCCAGUCAUUGAACCUGAAACAACCUUUAAUUUCCAAGAUCAAAUUGUCACCUAUCCCACUGACUUGACCCGCAAAGAUAAAACAGCUAUGGAACAAUUGCAUAAGCAUGCUCCACUGGGAGGCCACAGUUAGGCCCUAUUCAAAUUGAACAACAAAAAGAUGCCACAGGUUUGCAAUGUGUCCUUAGAUAUCAUACAUUGCAUUUUUCUAUUUCUAGGUAAUCAUAACUGGCCAUUGUUGUCUGCUCUUCCUAACUGUUUGUGAGAAAAGCCAUCUGACCUGAUAAGUGAGUUGCUCUUCCUGAGUAUCUGUGAGAGGACUAUCUGACCUAUAUGAAAGGCAUCACCGGACCGGGAAAAUAAUUGAGCUGAUUAAAAAGACUCUCAGAUCGGGAGAAGCAGAGAACAAGGCAACAUCCAACCGAUAACAGCACCACCAAGGAUGGGCAGAGAAAAUGUAAAAAAGUACGAGAGUCUGUCGGUAGGGCGAGGGAGAUGGUUUUGAAGGAGAACUGCGUCGAUAUGCAUAUGUAUUUUACUCUGCAAUAUCAUUCACUAAAGCUUUGAUAUAACUUAUCUGAGCAAAUCCUGUGUCUUGAUUUGAUUCUGAUCUACCAGAUAACGAAUACUUAAAAGUUAUAGGUUCAAGGUGAAUUGACCACAAAUUGGAGUCAAAAGACUCUGGCCAGACUUGAGGCCAGAGCAGAAUUUCGGUCAAAAUCCUUCAUAAUAUUGAAGGCGACAUGAUUGACACGUCCGAGCUUACGUGGCAGCGUGUACCAUCUGUGCUCAGGGAAAAGCCUCUCACCAGUCUCCCUUGGGUCUCCUGCAACCUCUCCCUGUUCCGAGUUGUCCCUGGUCCCAUGUCGCUCUGGAUUUUGUUACGGAUCUUCCUAAAUCUGAAGUUAAUGAUACAAUACUUACCAGCAUGGACAGAUUCUCUAAAUCUGCUCACUAUGUAGCAUUACCAAAAUUACCGACUGCCAGUGAGACAGCGACCUCAUUGUCCAACAUGUAUUCCGUCCCCAUGGAAUACCUGUGGACAUAGUUUCUGAUAGAGGCCCACAAUGUAUUUCACGUGUUUGGAAAGAGUUCUGUUCUGCUCUCGGCGCUUCUGUUAGCCUAUCCUCAGUUUUCCAUCUGCAGUCCAAUGGCCAGACAGAGAGGGCCAAUCAGGACCUGGAAGCGUCCCUUCGUGUCCCUGUGUGACUGCUCAACAUCCUUCCACUUGGGCUAAACAUCUCCCAUGGAUCGAGUAUGCUCACAAUUCUCUGACCACGUCUGCCACCGGCCUUUCUCCGUUCGAGGUUCGAGGAGAACCUAUGCCGAUGCCAUAGAGUUUGGUGUGACGCCCGUGAGGUGCUGCUCUGGACCACGUGGGACAAGAAAGUGGCGGAUAGGCAUAGGAUCCCUGCACCCCCGUUCCAGCCGGGACAGGAGGUUUGGCUCUCCUCCAGGAAUGUCCCUCUGCGUACCGAGUCCCGCAAAUUGCCGGCUCGGUAUUUGCGUCCAUUUGUCAUUGAGUCCGUCAUUAACCCCUCUGCUGUUCGGUUAAAGCUGCCGCAGGCCAUGAAGAUCCAUCCCACUUUCUAUGUGUCCCAACUGAAACAUGUGGCUUCAAGCCCUUUGUGCCCUCCUAUGGAUCCCCCACCUCCAGUACAUCUCAUAGACGACCAUCCAGCCUACACGGUCCAGAGUCUGGCGGGGUAGGGGGCUCCAAUAUCUGGUUGAUUGGGAGGGUUAUGGGCCGAAGGAGAGGUCUUGGAUUCCCAGAAGGUUCAUUCUGGACCCACAGUUAGUGACGGACGUUCACCGGGACCAUCCAGACAAACCUCAACCUAGCGGGGCGCCCGUUGAGGGGGGGGUACUGUUAUGGGUCAGCUGUUUUCCCUUUCCGUUUGUGUGUUCUCUCCCCUUUUCCCUGUGUGUCUUUCUGUGUUGGUUUUCCACCUGAAGGUUGAUGGAGGCAUGGUCGAGGAAAGUAGGUCAAGGGGCGUGGACGUUCUUCUCUGCACAAAUACCUGCUCAGCUGCAGCUCAUUCCAUGAUUCAACCCAGCAGUAUUUAUAUCCGGGCUGAUCCCUUCAUCGGCGCCAGUUCGUUACGACAAUCCAUGUGACCUGCUGCCUUCCCUGCUGUUCCUGUUGAGCUUCCAGUUCACACCAUUCAGUCUCGUCAUCACUGGGAUUUCUCUCUGUGUAUCUGAGUGUACUCACCUCUGCCUGCUCGCCUCGUGUCCCAGACCUACUUGGAUUCUCCUCCGUCGGCCCACCUCUAGCCUCGGAUCUGCCCCGGAGCUUCCCUGCCCAAACUCUACCGUCAUUGCCUCCUUUAAGUACAAUAUGUUUAUUAAACGCCUUCAAAACUGAA